rnacentral:rRNA from 1 species
UACGAGGGGUGCAAGCGUUGCUCGGAAUUAUUGGGCGUAAAGGGCAUGUAGGUGGUCUCAUUUGUCUGAUGUGAAAUCCUUGGGCUUAACCUAAGAAGUGCGUCAGAAACGGUGAGACUUGAGUGCUGGAGAGGUGAGUGGAAUUCCCGGUGUAGCGGUGAAAUGCGUAGAGAUCGGGAGGAACACCAGAGGCGAAGGCGGCUCACUGGACAGUGACUGACACUCAACUGCGAAAGCGUGGGGAGCAAACAGG